UACGGAGGGUGCAAGCGUUAAUCGGAAUUACUGGGCGUAAAGGGUGCGUAGGCGGUCGAGUAAGUUAUCUGUGAAAUCCCCGGGCUUAACCUGGGUAGGAAAGAUAAGACUGCUUGACUGGAGUGUGGUAGAGGAUAGUGGAAUUUCAGGUGUAGCGGUGAAAUGCGUAGAUAUCUGAAGGAACACCAGUGGCGAAGGCGGCUAUCUGGACCAACACUGACGCUGAGGCACGAAAGCGUGGGGAGCAAACAGG
rnacentral:rRNA from 1 species